rnacentral:rRNA from 1 species
AUUGAACGCUGGCGGCAGGCCUAACACAUGCAAGUCGAGCGGAUGAGUGGAGCUUGCUCCCUGAUUCAGCGGCGGACGGGUGAGUAAUGCCUAGGAAUCUGCCUGGUAGUGGGGGACAACGUUUCGAAAGGAACGCUAAUACCGCAUACGUCCUACGGGAGAAAGUGGGGGAUCUUCGGACCUCACGCUAUCAGAUGAGCCUAGGUCGGAUUAGCUAGUUGGUGAGGUAAAGGCUCACCAAGGCGACGAUCCGUAACUGGUCUGAGAGGAUGAUCAGUCACACUGGAACUGAGACACGGUCCAGACUCCUACGGGAGGCAGCAGUGGGGAAUAUUGGACAAUGGGCGAAAGCCUGAUCCAGCCAUGCCGCGUGUGUGAAGAAGGUCUUCGGAUUGUAAAGCACUUUAAGUUGGGAGGAAGGGCAGUAAGUUAAUACCUUGCUGUUUUGACGUUACCAACAGAAUAAGCACCGGCUAACUUCGUG